UAUUGGUCAAUGGGCGCGAGCCUGAACCAGCCCAGUAGCGUGAAGGAUGACGGCCCUAUGUGUUGUAAACUUCUUUUAUAUGGGAAUAAAGUUUUCCACGUGUGGCAUUUUGUAUGUACCAUAUGACUAAGGCUCGGCUAACUCCGUGCCAGCAGCCGCGGUAAUACGGAGGAUCCGAGCGUUAUCCGGAUUUAUUGGGUUUAAAGGGAGCGUAGGUGGACAGUUAAGCCAGUUGUGAAAGUUUGCGGCUCAACCGUAAAAUUGCAGUUGAAACUGGCAGUCUUGAGUACAGUAGAGGUGGGCGGAAUUCGUGGUGUAGCGGUGAAAUGCCUAGAUAUCACGAAGAACUCCGAUUGCGAAGGCAGCUCACUGGACUGUUGACUGACACUGAGGCUCGAAAGUGUGGGUAUCAAA
rnacentral:rRNA from 1 species